UCCUGAUCAACGCUAAUCGGAUCAGGGUUAGUCGGGACCUAAGGGGCAGCCGAAAGGCGAACUCGAUGGACAACGGGUUAAUAUUCCCGUACCGGCUUUAACUGCGAUGGGGUGACGAAGAGAUGAAAGCACCGCGAACUGACGGAAUAGUUCGUUGAAGACCGUACGUGAUGAGAUUUGCAGGUAAAUCCGCAAAUUGAGCUGAAAGUCGAUAGUACUGCAAUACUCCGGUAGCGCAGAUAGUGUGCCUAAUUUUACUUCCAAGAAAAACCUCUAAGCUUCAGGUUAAAGCUGCCCGUACCUCAAACCGACACAGGUAGUCAAGUAGAGUAUACUAAGGCGCUCGAGUGAUUCAUGGCUAAGGAACUCGGCAAAAUAGUCCUGUAACUUCGGGAGACAGGACGCUCACAGAGAUGUGAGCCGCAGUGAAAUGGCCCAGGCGACUGUUUAUCAAAAACACAUGGCUUUGCAAAAACGAAAGUUGAAGUAUAAGGCCUGACACCUGCCCGGUGCUGGAAGGUUAAGUGGAGAUGUUAGUUUCGGCGAAGCAUUGAAAUGAAGCCCCAGUAAACGGCGGCCGUAACUAUAACGGUCCUAAGGUAGCGAAAUUCCUUGUCGGGUAAGUUCCGAC
rnacentral:rRNA from 1 species